UACGUAGGUGGCAGGCGUUGUCCGGAUUUAUUGGGUUUAAAGGGUGCGUAGGCGGCUUUGUAAGUCAGUGGUGAAAUAUGGCAGCUCAACUGUCAAGGUGCCAUUGAUACUGCAGAGCUUGAGUACAGAUGAGGUAGGCGGAAUUGACGGUGUAGCGGUGAAAUGCUUAGAUAUCGUCAAGAACACCUAUAGCGAAGGCAGCUUACUAGACUGUAACUGACGCUGAGGCACGAAAGUGUGGGGAUCAAACAGG
rnacentral:rRNA from 1 species